rnacentral:rRNA from 1 species
UACGAAGGGGGCUAGCGUUGCUCGGAAUUACUGGGCGUAAAGCGCACGUAGGCGGCUUUCUAAGUCGGGGGUGAAAUCCUGGAGCUCAACUCCAGAACUGCCUCGAUACUGGAGAGCUCGAGUCCGGGAGAGGUGAGUGGAACUGCGAGUGUAGAGGUGAAAUUCGUAGAUAUUCGCAAGAACACCAGUGGCGAAGGCGGCUCACUGGCCCGGUACUGACGCUGAGGUGCGAAAGCGUGGGGAGCAAACAGGG